rnacentral:lncRNA from 10 species
UGCUUUGAUCCUCUGUCCCAAGGGACGUAUAACAUUGGAAAGAAGCAAUUUACUCAUCUAGACUUGGAGAGUCUGGCUCAACAUCAAAUUAAAAUCAUGCUGGUGUUCACGUGAGGGUGCUUUUGUGCAAAGCUGGAGAAGCACGGGAUGUGAAGGGCCUUGCUGGAGGCAGAGCUCUGCAGAUGAACCAGAAGACCGCACCCGAACCCCCGUUCAGCUGCGAGGCAUAAACGCCUUCCCCUGGUUAGGAGCUGAUGCCUCACUGUGAGCUUGGAUGGCAAGUUCAUAGAGGCCAUCCACACGAAUGGGUUUAAUGGGAUUUCUUUAUCAAUUGUUUAAAGAGAGUCUUUAGCGUCCCUCAAUACCCUUUCCAGGAGGAUACACAGAAUAAAUUCCUGCUUGACUUUUAGAUCCCAGAUAAAACUACUCCCGCAGAAGAAUUAGAAUUUCUUUGUCAUAUUGGACAAUAAAAAUUAUGUAACUUACU